rnacentral:tRNA from 1 species
GCCGAUGUAGCUCAAUGGUAGAGCAACGGUUUUGUAAACCGUAGGUUCCGGGUUCAAGUCCCGGUGUCGGCUCCA